UAUCUCAACCUUACUGUAGAUUGAACUGAACAUUUAAAUUUUCAAUUAGUGAGUUGCUUAUGAAAUUGAAAUUAAAGUUGAAUGCGUUACCUUCUGUUGGACCAAAAGCGAAUGAUCAGAUACACAGACAAUGUUAUUUUCAAAUGAAUUUUUUGAAAUUUUCAAAUCAAACAUUUUAUUUUUCAUAAGUGUUGUCACUUAAACCUGCAUUUUUCGCGCCUUGCUCUUCAUUAUCUAUGAGCUCUUGGUUAACUUUCAUCAAACCCUAUUCAUUAAAUAUCUAAACAUAAUAAUUUAAUCAAUAAAGUUCAAAUCCCACUUUUGAGAAAAAAAUUCAUGCUCAGGUUGAUCAGUAAUUCAUUAGCUUUUUCGAGAGUCGAAGCCAUUUCAAGUGAUCAUGAAAGAAUGAUUGAAAUAAAAACAAAUAGAUCAUGAUAAUCACUAAUCAAUGAUAAUUUUUAUAACUGAUUACGUUCUGCAUUAAAAACAAAAACAAUCAAUUUAAGCCUUUGAAGACUGUGAGAACGAUUAGAUCAGAUCUAUUUCAGGAAAAUAACAGGCCAUAUUGAUAUAAAAUGUUUUUGUUUAUAAUCAACAAUCAGAUAUCAUUUAAUGCGUAUUCAUGAGUGUCUAUCAAUUUUCCUAUUUAAAGUCAAUCUGUACUAUGCACAGUAUCAUACAUCGAUAAAAUUCAAAUUUUGUCAUUGUUCUGCUUAAUUUAAUCAUUGUUUAACUUGAUAAUCAAAUAUAAUGGAUCCUUCCAACACAACUAACCAGUUUAACGUAACCCAAACCCCAAUUGGCUCAGGCCACAACAGGCCGCAUACAGACUAUCAAGGGACUAUGACCAAGACUGAUCCUGGUAAUCAUGCAAACCAAAUGAAUCCAAACAAUUCUGUUUACGACAGUGGCCGAGGUGGAGAUGAAAAGGGACCAUGAGCUUAUUCCAAGAUUCCAUGAGGCGGUUUUUUCUCAUACAUUUUCUUAGCAGCUUACAUCUAUUGAAU